rnacentral:rRNA from 1 species
UGUUAUAGAUGGAUCCGCGCUGCAUUAGCUAGUUGGUAAGGUAACGGCUUACCAAGGCAACGAUACGUAGCCGACCUGAGAGGGUGAUCGGCCACACUGGAACUGAGACACGGUCCAGACUCCUACGGGAGGCAGCAGUAGGGAAUCUUCCGCAAUGGGCGAAAGCCUGACGGAGCAACGCCGCGUGAGUGAUGAAGGUCUUCGGAUCGUAAAACUCUGUUAUUAGGGAAGAACAUAUGUGUAAGUAACUGUGCACAUCUUGACGGUACCUAAUCAGAAAGCCACGGCUAACUACGUGCCAGCAGCCGCCCUAAUACGUAGGUGGCAAGCGUUAUCCGGAAUUAUUGGGCGUAAAGCGCGCGUAGGCGGUUUUUUAAGUCUGAUGUGAAAGCCCACGGCUCAACCGUGGAGGGUCAUUGGAAACUGGAAAACGUGAGUGCAGAAGAGGAAAGUGGAAUUCCAUGUGUAGCGGUGAAAUGCGCAGAGAUAUGGAGGAACACCAGUGGCGAAGGCGACUUUCUGGUCUGUAACUGACGCUGAUGUGCGAAAGCGUGGGGAUCAAACAGGAUUAGAUACCCUGGUAGUCCACGCCGUAAACGAUGAGUGCUAAGUGUUAGGGGGUUUCCGCCCNUUAGUGCUGCAGCUAACGCAUUAAGCACUCCGCCUGGGGAGUACGACCGCAAGGAGAAACUCAAAGGAAUUGACGGGGACCCGCACAAGCGGUGGAGCAUGUGGUUUAAUUCGAAGCAACGCGAAGAACCUUACCAAAUCUUGGGACAUCCUUUGACAACUCUAGAGAUAGAGCCUUCCCCUUCGGGGGACAAAGUGACAGGUGGUGCAUGGUUGUCGUCAGCUCGUGUCGUGAGAUGUUGGGUUAAGUCCCGCAACGAGCGCAACCCUUAAGCUUAGUUGCCAUCAUUAAGUUGGGCACUCUAAGUUGACUGCCGGUGACAAACCGGAGGAAGGUGGGGAUGACGUCAAAUCAUCAUGCCCCUUAUGAUUUGGGCUACACACGUGCUACAAUGGACAAUACAAAGGGCAGCGAAACCGCGAGGUCAAGCAAAUCCCAUAAAGUUGUUCUCAGUUCGGAUUGUAGUCUGCAAC